UACGUAGGGGGCAAGCGUUGUCCGGAUUUAUUGGGCGUAAAGAGCGUGUAGGCGGCUGGGUAGGUCCGUUGUGAAAACUCGAGGCUCAACCUCGAGACGCCGAUGGAAACCCUCCAGCUAGAGUCCGGAAGAGGAGAGUGGAAUUCCUGGUGUAGCGGUGAAAUGCGCAGAUAUCAGGAGGAACACCCGUAGCGAAGGCGGCACUCUGGGCCGAUACUGACACUGAGGAGCGAAAGCGUGGGGAGCGAACAGG
rnacentral:rRNA from 1 species